GAUGUGAUUUUUGCUACAAUUUAUUUUGGACCGAUUUGAAUUUUGUUUUCAGUUUUCGUCAUACGCGUAGUCAAGUAAAUAUCCGGGUAGGUAUUAUUUAUUCCAAUACUGCCUAACAUUUUAAAGUUGAUUUCGUAUUUUCGUCAAUUUGAGGCUUGUCGCUUCAAAACCGUAACAUUUUUUGCCCGACGUAUUGCAGUUG